ACUGUGUGUCUUUAUGAGGUGUGACUGUGUGUGUUUAUGAGGUGUGACUGUGUGUGUUUAUGAGGUGUGACUGUGUGUGUUUACGAGGACUGACUGUGUGUGUUUACGAGGACUGACUGUGUGUGUUUAUGAGGUGUGACUGUGUGUUUACGAGGAGUGACUGUGUGUGUUUAUGAGGAGUGACUGUGUGUUUAUGAGGAGUGACUGUGUGUGUUUAUGAGGUGUAACUGUGUGUUUAUGAGGAGUGACUGUGUGUGUUUAUGCGGUGUGACUGUGUGUGUUUAUGAGGAGUGACUGUGUGUGUUUAUGAGGAGUGACUGUGUGUGUUUAUGAGGAGUGACUGUGUGUGUUUAUGAGGUGUGACUGUGUGUGUAUGAGGUGUGACUGUGUGUGUAUGAG
rnacentral:lncRNA from 1 species